GAAGUCGGUCAGGCAACCGCUGGGGGAGAGGUGAAAACCUCGAACCGGGAGGAAAGUCCGGGCUUCAUAGAGCGAGAUGCCGGCUAACGGCCGGGCACCGUGAGGUGACGGAAAGUGCAACAGAGAAUAGACCGCCUAAGACCGGGGCAACCCGGGACGGUAAGGGUGAAACGGCGAGGUAAGAGCUCACCGCGGACGUGGUAACACGGACGGCACGGCAAACCCCAUCUGAAGCAAGGCCAAAUAGGGAAGCGCAUGGCGUGGCUCGCGUUGCUUCCGGGUAGGCUGCUUGAGCGUACUGGCAACAGU
rnacentral:RNase_P_RNA from 1 species